rnacentral:rRNA from 2 species
UGCAGUCGAGCGGCAGCGGGAAAGUAGCUUGCUACUUUUGCCGGCGAGCGGCGGAUGGGGUAUAAUGCCUGGGAAAUUGCCCAGUCGAGGGGGAUAACAGUUGGAAACGACUGCUAAUACCGCAUACGCCCUACGGGGGAAAGCAGGGGACCUUCGGGCCUUGCGCGAUUGGAUAUGCCCAGGUGGGAUUAGCUAGUUGGUGAGGUAAUGGCUCACCAAGGCGACGAUCCCUAGCUGGUCUGAGAGGAUGAUCAGCCACACUGGAACUGAGACACGGUCCAGACUCCUACGGGAGGCAGCAGUGGGGAAUAUUGCACAAUGGGGGAAACCCUGAUGCAGCCAUGCCGCGUGUGUGAAGAAGGCCUUCGGGUUGUAAAGCACUUUCAGCGAGGAGGAAAGGUCAGUAGCUAAUAUCUGCUGGCUGUGACGUUACUCGCAGAAGAAGCACCGGCUAACUCCGUGCCAGCAGCCGCGGAAUACGGAGGGGCAAGCGUUAAUCGGAAUUACUGGGCGUAAAGCGCACGCAGGCGGUUGGAUAAGUUAGAUGUGAAAGCCCCGGGCUCAACCUGGGAAUUGCAUUUAAAACUGUCCAGCUAGAGUCUUGUAGAGGGGGGUAGAAUUCCAGGUGUAGCGGUGAAAUGCGUAGAGAUCUGGAGGAAUACCGGUGGCGAAGGGCGGCCCCUGGACCAAGACUGACGCUCAGGUGCCGAAAGCGUGGGAGCAAACAGGAUUAGAUACCCUGGUAGUCCAC